rnacentral:sRNA from 12 species
CGCUCAGCUUGUGGGGUAACCGCAGGAGCUGGGGGAUAAGCGAGACUGUGGGAUAGUUCUGAGAACUCGCAAACGGCGGCGAAGAGAGCACCGUUGGAACGAAAAGGCUGUCGGGU